rnacentral:rRNA from 1 species
UACGUAGGGGGCGAGCGUUGUCCGGAUUUAUUGGGCGUAAAGAGCUCGUAGGCCGUUCGGUAAGUCAGAUGUGAAAACUCCAGGCUCAACUUGGAGACGCCAUCUGAUACUGCCGUGACUAGAGUCCGGUAGGGGAGCACGGAAUUCCUGGUGUAGCGGUGAAAUGCGCAGAUAUCAGGAGGAACACCAGCGGCGAAGGCGGUGCUCUGGGCCGGAACUGACGCUGAGGAGCGAAAGCGUGGGGAGCGAACAGG